rnacentral:rRNA from 1 species
GACGAACCGAGCGAACGUUUGUUCGGAAUCACUGGGCUUAAAGGGCGCGUAGGCGGGUGCUCAAGUCCGUGGUGAAAUCCUCCGGCUCAACCCGGAGAACUGCCUCGAAUACUGGCGGUCUCGAGGGAGGUAGGGGCGUGCGGAACUGUGGGUGGAGCGGUGAAAUGCGUUGAUAUCCACAGGAACUCCGGUGGCGAAGGCGGCACGCUGGACCUUUUCUGACGCUGAGGCGCGAAAGCCAGGGGAGCGAACGGG